CGGUUGCCCUGCACUUCACCAUCUACAGUGCACACUCGAAGCUCUCUCUUUCUCUCACACGUACGCGCUGAGGAUGCCCGGCAAGGAAAAGGCAAAGAAGGAGCUCCACCGCUCCAACCCGCUUGGCGACGAUAUCCACGCAGAGCGCUUCGCCAGCGCCAAGAGCGCGUCGCGCCGUGCCGCAGACGAGAACGACGCGGAUCAGGCUGGCUACCUCAUCCCCAACCACACGACGAAACGGAUCUUGCGCACAGCCAAGAAGCAGCUGGAGGCCAUUCAGGGUGAGGUGAUGGCUGAGGAGAACGCCACCGCGGUGUGCGGAGAGGACUACCGCGACAACGGCCUGCAGGACCUCAUUGACAACGAGGAGAUGACGACGGAAGGUCGCGAGCACCGCUACGAGGUGGAGGCGGCGGCGGAUGACGAAGACGUGGUUCUGGAGUACGACGACAACGAGUCUAUUGCAUCGGAGAUGCCGGUGGACGUGCCGGACGUGUCCCCAGAGAUGUACGGCAUCGACGAGGAAGAGGCACGACUGCUGAACGCCUUCCAGCCCGCCUCGCGUGUGCAGACCCGCAACUUGGCGGACAUGAUCAUGGAAAAGAUUAGGGAAAAGGAGCAGGGCGCCGGCCGUGGCGCAACUCCGAGCCCGAGCGAUAACGCCCGCGCGGUGGACGGGGACAGUGAGGACAAGAUCGACAAUCGUGUGGCACGCGUGUACACGGCCAUCGGCACGGUGCUGAAGCGCUACACCUCCGGCAAGAUUCCGAAGGCGUUCAAGAUUUUGCCAAAUGUGAAGAACUGGGAGCAGCUGCUGAUGCUGACGCGUCCGGAUCAGUGGUCCCCGCACGCCACGUACCAGGCCACUCGCAUCUUUGCCGCCAACUUGAACGAGAGUAUGCUGCAGCGCUUCUACGCCGCGGUGCUGCUGCCCAUUGUGCACGAGCGGCUGCUCGAGGAAAAGAAACUGCACCCGGCUCUGUACAUGGCAGUGCGCAAGGCGCUCUUCAAGCCCGUCGCCUUCUUCAAAGGCUUUCUGCUGCCGCUGGCAAUGGAUGAGGAGUGCACGCUGCGUGAGGCCCUUGUGGUGGCAAGCGUGCUGCAGCGCUGCCACUUGCCACCAGUGCCUACCGCCGUUACCAUCUACAAGAUCGCGCAGCAGCCCUUUAGCGGCCGGUGCUCCGUCUUUCUUCGUGUGCUCAUCGACAAGAAGAUGGCGCUGCCGUAUCAGGCCAUCGACGAGCUGGUGAAGUACUUCCAUCGCUUCUUGGAAACGCACACGAAGGAGGAGGCGCUGCCGGUGCUGUGGCAUCAGACCCUGCUCUCCUUCAUCCAGCACUACAAGGCAGACCUGGCCGAGGCGCAGCUGGGGCUGCUAUCAAACGUGUGCAACGUGCAUUUUCACUACAUGAUCACCCCCGAGAUCCGCCGCGAGAUCGGGGCGGCGCUGCGCAUGAAGCAGGGCGCGGCACCCGUUUCCUAGCGUGUGCGGGGCCACAGCUGCCCAAGCAAACACACGCGCGCCUCCCGUGUCGGCUCGUUUGUGGACAACGAGAAAAGCAGUGGCGUGCUUUGUUGGCUUUCCUUCAUCGCACUGAAUCCGGUUAACUAACGCCAGAUAGUAAGCGCACCAACAGCUGAGCAGAGAGUAAGCCCCCUCCUCCCCUCACCAGUGCACGCACAGGGCAGGAGAGGACCGAAUACGAGUAAGCCGGCAUCAGCCGCAACCGCGUUGCGUGCAUGAUCGUGCUUUCUUCCACACUUACGCACGCGAGAGGUAUCGAGGCGAUUAAGGCCCACGAUUUCUGUGUUCACGCGCUGUUGCGCAUACUACUGCCACAGCG
rnacentral:misc_RNA from 1 species